AAGUCAUUUCAAAGAGAGCUUGGAUGGCUACGAAACCAGAGCUCUGGUUAUAAUAAGAUUAAAAUUUUCCAUAGGAUGCUGUAGUCACACAAUAGUGCUGUGUUUUCUUGAGGAGGUAGAAGA
ensembl:snoRNA